UACGUUUGCAAAAAUCAACGUUCAAAAAUAUAUCAGCUACUUGGAGUGAAAUGAAGAUUCAAGUUGUAGCCGCAUUGCUCUGCUUAAUAGUUUUUCUACAUUCUGAAGGUAAACCCCAAGGCAAGGGUAAAUGCAAAGGCAAGGCAAAGAGCAACUACGAAUUAAGUGGUGAGAAAAAUGGGUACCAUGACCAGGGAAAUUCAUGCAAAAAGUGUAAAGCUCCUUGCAAAACUCUUCCAACAACAUGUCCAGAGGGAUACACGAAACUGAUUAAUCAAAGUAUUAGCCCAAAUUGUUACCUUUUUGAAGGCCGCAAAAGGACGGAUAGAACAGAUUGGCAUGUAG